rnacentral:misc_RNA from 1 species
AACCCUAGAAAAAUACAAUGAAUAGAAAGGUGGUGAAAAAGCCGCCAUCGAUGGAACUUCCGGAAGGUAUAUGGGCUAAUAUACUACACAAGCUUGGUGUUGUAGAGAUACUGGAGACAACUGAGAAAGUGUGCAGCAAGUGGAGGCGACUGUGUAAGAAUCCUUCAACGUGGCGAGUCAUUGACAUGUGGAACCUCAGAGACCUCUCUGAAAUGGAUUACGACUUAGAGGUAAUGUGCCGACAUGCUGUUGAUCGCAGCCAAGGUGAAGCUGUUGAUAUCAAUUUGCAGUACUUUGCCACUGCUCAGUUGCUUGAGUACAUAGCUGAAAGGUUGAUGCAGCUGUUUUUGAGAGGGAGCGCAUGCUGCUGGUCAAAAUAUCUGAGCUAGCCGUGGACUCAGAUUAACUUUGCUGUCAUGCUUCUUGUUUAUAAAGACCUUUGCUUAAACUGAUGUUACGUCAAUUAUGCAAGAUGAGUAGCUUUACGAAUGAAUUAACUACUACUGAAAAGCUUAAAUACAUGCAGGUGAAUACCUAAUCGGUUUCUUUAAUGCAUAUAGGUCAUCUAACUUCUCUAAUGGAUUGAAAAAAUUGAAAGAAACUAUAAGAGAGAGACCACAAACUAAAUUUUAUCAGGUGUAGGAGCACAAUUGUUUUUUCUCUCCACAAA